GCAGAGUGAUGCCCAGUUAAACCAUAUCCAGGAGACAGCAGCAAACACAGCAUACACCUGGUCCAAGCAACAGGCCGUACUGCAGUGCGGUAAGCUCAGGACACAGUGCCCAGCCCUCAUGGAAAGAUCUGGGGCCACGCUUUACAAUUUCUUUGGUUAUAUUUGGGCCCCCAAAGAAAUUAAUGCCACUCUGAAAGUGAGGAAGUUCCAAUAUUCAGUAUCAGGCCUGGUCCUCCUAAUCUACUGGAGAAGAGUUGGUUAUGGCAUGGCAUCUAACAGUCAUCUCUUCUUAAUACAAAUAAUAAAUUUCACUGCUAAGAAGACAAUCAUCUGGAAAAAAAAAAACAGACAUUUGCUUAUGUUUCAAAGAAAGUCAUAAUAGCAAACUGGGACUCUCUUCAACAUCUGGAUUCAUCUCAGAGCACUGGCAAUCUGCGCUUAACAGCAGUCAUAUCUUUACCAGAUGUAGAAAGAAUGUUCUCUUCUUUUGGACUUACCUAAAUAUCAUUUGGAAAUUGGAAGAAUAGGAAAACCUAUCCUUCUUCACUAACUAUAAAAAUAAUUUGGAAGAAGGAAAAAAAAAACCUUUAAGUUUUCUAUGCUGGUCUACAUGUUCUUACAAUGAAUCUCAGAGCAACAGUUUAUGACUUAAAUUAUAUGCUGUGUUCCUUAGUAUACUUAUUUCUUCAAAAACUAGUAAUUCUAAAUUGUAUAAUUCUUGACUAUUAUAAAAUAGCCCAUUUCUUGACCAUGUCAAUUAUAUUGGACUUUUGUUACUGAUGGGGAAAAAUCCAGAAUUUGUGAUAAUUAUGUCUUGGAUAUGCAAAUGGUUGAUUAUUUUCCUAACAAUUCCCAAAAUAUCCACAUCAUAAAGCAGAAUUAAAGAUGGUUUGCCUCCGAAUAUCUUUAGAAAUAUCAAAUCAGUGUUCUGAUGUGGCUAGUAAUUCAAAUGAAAAAUUUUAAAUAAGUCAGUGCUUCAAAUGAAGCCGGCCUCUGAGUUGUGAAUAAGUAGUUAUCUUAAAUAGGCAACUUAAAAAAAAAAAACAGAAAACAUA